GCCUAUCCCAAAGUUUUUCAUAUUCCUAUUUCUUGAAGCUGUAGGAUUCCAUGAAAUCAUUUGCAAGUAAAGUAGACUUUGAAUUUUUCAAUCUGAUUUUUUUAUAAUCUGUUUAUAUGAGACUAAUCUGUGCAAAUCUAAUUCCUUUCUCUUAUUCAGUCUCCUAAUUACUUUUUCAUCCUCACCACACUACUUUUGCUAUCUAUUUUGGCUACCAAUUAUAGUAUUUAUAUUAGAAAGUAAAUAAAGUGAGUGUUGCCACCUAUAGACAGAGAAUUAAUAUAAACAGAGUUCCUUUUUCCAUCUGGUACAACCAUCAUUUUCAAACUUGUUACUUAUUUACCUAUUGGUUGAUGUUGCCAUUUCAUAAGUCUUUGCAUUAAAGCAUUUAUUUAAAUUUCU
rnacentral:lncRNA from 1 species